UUAGAAGUUUUUUUUUAUCUGGCUCAGGAUGAACGCUGGCGGCGUGCUAAUACAUGCAAGUCGAGCGAACGGACGAGAAGCUUGCUUCUCUGAUGUUAGCGGCGGACGGGUGAGUAACACGUGGAUAACCUACCUAUAAGACUGGGAUAACUUCGGGAAACCGGAGCUAAUACCGGAUAAUAUUUUGAACCGCAUGGUUCAAAAGUGAAAGACGGUCUUGCUGUCACUUAUAGAUGGAUCCGCGCUGCAUUAGCUAGUUGGUAAGGUAACGGCUUACCAAGGCAACGAUGCAUAGCCGACCUGAGAGGGUGAUCGGCCACACUGGAACUGAGACACGGUCCAGACUCCUACGGGAGGCAGCAGUAGGGAAUCUUCCGCAAUGGGCGAAAGCCUGACGGAGCAACGCCGCGUGAGUGAUGAAGGUCUUCGGAUCGUAAAACUCUGUUAUUAGGGAAGAACAUAUGUGUAAGUAACUGUGCACAUCUUGACGGUACCUAAUCAGAAAGCCACGGCUAACUACGUGCCAGCAGCCGCGGUAAUACGUAGGUGGCAAGCGUUAUCCGGAAUUAUUGGGCGUAAAGCGCGCGUAGGCGGUUUUUUAAGUCUGAUGUGAAAGCCCACGGCUCAACCGUGGAGGGUCAUUGGAAACUGGAAAACUUGAGUGCAGAAGAGGAAAGUGGAAUUCCAUGUGUAGCGGUGAAAUGCGCAGAGAUAUGGAGGAACACCAGUGGCGAAGGCGACUUUCUGGUCUGUAACUGACGCUGAUGUGCGAAAGCGUGGGGAUCAAACAGGAUUAGAUACCCUGGUAGUCCACGCCGUAAACGAUGAGUGCUAAGUGUUAGGGGGUUUCCGCCCCUUAGUGCUGCAGCUAACGCAUUAAGCACCCGCCCG
rnacentral:rRNA from 1 species